GAAUAGGAUGAUGUCACCCAGAACUCACCCAAGUUAGAAGCUAAGGAGGAUUGGGCUUGAUUAGUACUUGCAUGGGAGACCACUAGAAAAUCCUAGAGAUCUCC
rnacentral:rRNA from 1 species